AAAGCGUGUUUUAAGAUACUGUAGGUAUGAUAAAAAUGUUACACAUUUUUUACGAUUUAGAAUAUAUCUACUAGCUUACUUACUUUUAUCUUGAGUGAAAAUUUUCAAUAAGUAGUUUGCGUUUAAAUUGCGAUAUAAACCUUUUAGCUGUACUUAGGUACCUACAUAAUAAACAAUAAUUCUGAAUGUCAAGACUUUGGAUGGGUCGCGGUCUAUUUCGAUAUUACGUUGAACAAGUAAUGUAAAAAUAAAAUAUAUUGAAGUAGAUUCAAUAUAUUUUAGUUGAAACUCAAACAUGUACGGUUCAUUUUGUUUUUUUUUGUGUGUUUGAUAAUUAAUUGCAAACAACUUUCUGAUUUUAGUAAUCGCAGUCACGGAAGACUAAAACCUUCGCAGCACACAGUACACAUUCCAAAUGAACUGUGUGAAAGAGGAUAUGUAUACGGAGAAAGGAGUGAGUGCAGAGAUGACCUGUGAUAGGCCUAAAUGGAAAAAGAACACAUACAUAGUGGGAAAAGCAAAAUGCAAACACGCGUUUUUCUAUACUUGUCCAGAGCUUUUCUCUCAAACUGGUAACCCACUGCUGGAGAAGCCUUUGUUACGUACCGAAAACUACAUAGGCUACCUGGAAAUACUAGGUGUAUCGCGUGAAGCUUGAAAACUAUAGAAGGGGAACAACUUGUGGAGUUCCGGCUACAUACAAACUAAGAUUACUGAAACAAACAAUAGCAAUAUUUAAAUUUUUUUAAUCGACGUAAAAUUAUUAUAAAUAAAUAUAUAGUACUGACAAUCACGCCACGUUAAAGCCUUGUUCGGACUAGGCGAGUAUUUUAGUCGAGUACCGAGUAAUUGAGUGGCUAAACUACUCGCUAAUCGCCCGAAAAAAUAGAACAAAAUGGAUUGACUUGACUAAAUUAUUUACUCGACUAAAUUUUUGGUGUUCAGACACAUUUACUCGACUAAAAUACUCGCCUAGUCCGAACAAGGCUUAACUGGUCUCGUACUAAGUUCGUAAAGAACUUGUGUUACAGGUAACAGAAAACGGAAAGAAAUACCCGAGCGAAGCCGGAGCGGGCCGCUAGUAUGAUAUAAGAACAAAGAAACGGAAUGGACUUGCACCUGAAGAUUGGACUUUGUCAAGCUAUAUUUAGUUAUCUUUGAUAUCGCAUAUGUAUGAAUGAAUUAG